ensembl:lncRNA
UAUAUAUAUAUAUAUAUAUAUAGUGGCAGUAGUAGUGGCUAGUACUGAUGGAGAGAUGAGACCUGGGUUCUAUCAGGUGGUGGCCUAUAUAUAUAUAUAUAUAUAGUGGCAGUAGUAGUGGCUAGUAGUGAUGGAGAGAUGAGACCUGGGUUCUAUCAGGUGGCCUAUAUAUAUAUAUAUAUAGUGGCAGUAGUAGUGGCUAGUAGUGAUAGAGAGAUGAGACCUGGGUUCUAUCAGGUGGUCUAUAUAUAUAUAUAUAGUGGCAGUAGUAGUGGCUAGUAGUGAUAGGGAGAUGAGACCUGGGUUCUAUCAGGUGGCCCAUAUAUAUAUAUAUAUAU